rnacentral:rRNA from 1 species
AUGGCGUCCGACCAGCACCCCCUCGACUCCUUCCUCGCCGCCGCCCGCGGCGCUCUCGCCCACCUCCACCUCCCCGGAUCCGAUUCCAAGCAGCAGCAUCAGCAGGAGCAGCGCCAGCCUGACUGCCUCCUCCACCUCCACGUCGUCCUCACCAACUUCCUCCACAAGCCCCUCCGGUCAUUCUCGAGAUGCUUCGGCAACGACCACAACAAGCCCAGGCGAGGCCGGACCAAACAGGCCACGCCGCCGCUCCUCGACGCCGGGAAAAGGCAGCCGCUGCCGCAGCAGCAGCUGGAGCUCCUGCUCUGCAUUGCGUUCGACGCCCUGGCGCACAACCUGCAGGCGCUGGAGGGCGCGUGCAGGCAGAAGGGCGAGGAGUUCGGCAGCGCCGCCCUGCAAAUCGACCAGUUUCAGGUCGUCAGGAAGGUCAUCGUUGGUAAGAAGGCUGAUUUCGACGGGUUCCUCUCCAACCUGGGGUUCGCCAGGCUGGGGGCGCCGGCGGCGAGCUUCGCCGAUGACUCCCAGGCCUCGGCGCCACCGGCUGCUGGCCAGGACGGUGUAAUCGGGGAGAGGGAAGGGGCUGACAGUGGUGGUGAUGCUGCACAGCCACCGCAGAAGUUUGCCGGCCGGUUGCUCAACAUCCCAUUGUCGAAUGUGGAGCGGCUGCGGUCAACUCUGUCCACGGUUUCACUGACGGAGCUGAUUGAGUCGGUUCCACAGCUGGUUGGCAGAUUGUCGACUUCAGUGGAUAGCCAUCCAGACAAGAAGAAGCUUUUCUCCGUGCAAGACUUCUUCCGGUAUGCAGAAAUCGAAGGGAAGCGAUUCUUUGAGGAAUUGGAUAGAGAUGGUGAUGGCCAAGUCACCCUAGAAGAUCUUGAAGUUGCUAUGAGAAAGAGGCGAUUGCCGCGGAGGUACGCUCGGGAUUUGUUACGGCGUACCAGAAGUAACAGGUUUUCAAAGUCGAUUGGGUGGAAACAAUUUCUGUCCUUGAUGGAGCAGAAGGAGGCAACAAUACUCCGGGCAUACACCACAUUGUGUUUGAGCAAGUCUGGGACGCUUCACAAGAAUCAGAUUGUUGAAUCGUUAAAAGGUGCAGGCCUCCCGGCCAAUGAAGAUAAUGCUGCUGCCAUGCUGCGCUAUCUAAAUGCAGAUUCAGAAGGAUCAAUCUCAUACAGCCAUUUUCGCAGUUUCAUGCUUCUACUUCCUUCAGAGCGCCUUGAAGAUGAUCCUCGGAACAUUUGGUUUGAAGCAGCUACAUUGGUUGCUGUUCCCCCACCUGUAGAAAUAUCUGCCGGAAAUGUUUUGAAGUCGGCUUUAGCUGGAGGUCUUGCUAGUGCCCUUUCUACCUCUAUGUUGCACCCUAUUGAUACAAUGAAGACACGUGUCCAAGCAUCUACGCUCUCAUUUCCAGAGCUAAUUGCAAAGCUUCCACAAAUUGGGAUUCAAGGACUGUAUCGAGGUUCUAUCCCUGCAAUUCUCGGACAGUUUUCAAGCCAUGGUUUGAGGACAGGAAUCUUUGAAGCAAGUAAGCUCAUAUUAGUAAGAGUGGCUCCAACACUUCCGGAGAUUCAGGUGCAAUCGUUGGCUUCCUUCUGCAGCACAAUCCUGGGAACCGCAGUCCGUAUUCCUUGUGAGGUUCUUAAGCAACGGUUGCAGGCUGGAAUCUUCGACAAUGUAGGGGAGGCCAUUGUUGGUACCAUGCAAAAAGAUGGCCUAAAGGGUUUCUUCCGUGGCACUGGGGCCACUCUUUGUCGUGAGGUUCCUUUCUAUGUUGCCGGAAUGUGUCUUUACGGUGAAGCUAAAAAGGCGGCACAGCAUGUCUUGAGCAGAGAGUUGGAACCAUGGGAAACUAUAGCAGUUGGAGCAUUGUCUGGAGGGCUUGCAGCAGUUGUCACCACUCCCUUCGACGUGAUGAAGACCCGGAUGAUGACCGCCCCACCAGGCACGCCAGUCUCCAUGCAGUUGAUAGUCUUCUCCAUCCUCCGAAACGAGGGGCCCCUCGGGCUCUUCAAGGGUGCGAUCCCGCGCUUCUUCUGGAUCGCUCCUCUCGGAGCAAUGAACUUUGCAGGCUACGAGCUCGCCAAGAAGGCCAUGAUCGAAGCCGAGAAGGAGACCGCCGACUCUUUACAAGAGAAGAAGAACAUGGUGGGUUCGAGAGGAUGA